GUAAAUGAGAGGGAGGUCAGUGGAGUGGUGAGGAUGAGGGGAGUAGAGUUGGCGAAGGUGGAUGAGUUUAAAUACUUGGGAUCAACAGUACAGAGUAAUGGGGAUUGUGGAAGAGAAGUGAAGAAGAGAGUGCAGGCAGAGUGGAGUGGGUGGAGAAGAGUGUCAGGAGUGAUUUGUGACAGACGGGUAUCAGCAAGAGUGAAAGGGAAGGUCUACAGGACGGUAGUGAGACCAGCUAUGUUAUAUGGGCUGGUGACGGUGGCACAGGAGACAGAGCUGGAGGUGGCAGAGUUAAAGAUGUUAAGAUUUGCAUUGGGUGUGACAAGGAUGGACAGGAUUAGAAAUGAGGACAUUAGAGGGUCAGCUCAGGUGGGACAGUUGGGAAACAAAGUCAGAGAGGCGAGACUGUAUUGGUUUGGACAUGAGCAGAGGAGA